GGCAUCAUCAUGAUGUUGGCUUUUUAUUUUAUUACCCCUUCAUUAUUUUAUUAUCUCCUUCUUCCUCCUUAUAUUCCUUCUUCACUUACUCGAAAAUGGACGGAAGCAGAGUAAUAGAACCUAGCAGUAGCUGGCACAAAUCCAUGUUGCAGUUCCAUGAACCCGGAAGCCAUAUCCGGUGUGCUGACCCGGAAUCACCAGGAAUCCGGAUCUUUAGCCAAAACCCAGCUCAUGCAACCCGUACUUUGAUCGGCAGCAACCUGAAGCUCAGCAAACCCGGAACCCAUGAACCUGCAAUUCAGGCCUAGAACCCGCCGGCAACCGAGACCCGUAGCAGAUCCGGCAUGAGCCCAGCCCGAUCAUGACCCAGUAGCAAAAAUCCGACGAAGCCGAGUCUUCUGUUCUUCCAGAUCUGAUCAAAUCAGUGACACCGUGACCCCGUAAAUCCCGAAGACCACCAAUGAAGACGAAACCAAGCUAAACCCAAACUGAAGCCUACCGAUCGUGAAACCCGAACCUUUUCUGUCAAAUGACCCGUGCAACCAAAGUGUGCAGUUUGACCCGUAGCCUGGAACCCUUGAGCCCAUAAACCUCGGCCCAACCCCGAGACCACUGAAGCCCAUAAUCCGAAACCCUUAAGCCCGAGACCCAUAAGCCCAGUAGCAAGCCCAAGACCGAGACUCAAGCCCUUGACCCGAGACCCAUCGGCCCGAGACCCUAACCAAUGAGCCCGACCCAUGACCCGAACCCGGUACCCGACCCGGAACCCUGACCCGCCGGCGACUUUUCCGGCCACUUUCCGGUGACUUUUCCGGCUAUUUUUCCAGCGACCAAACUCACCGUUUCGCUGGAUUUUCGAGUGAAAAUCCUUAAUCCAAUUAUGCAGGUACGAAAGAUUAAAGCUCAAGAGAUGUUAUAGCUAUGGAUGCAUAGUUUAUAUUCUUCAGUGUUAUUAGCAUUUUAUGUUGACAAAUUUACUAGUGAUUUUAUAUGUAUGCUUUCGUGUCAUUAUGGACACCUAUUUCCUUGUAUUUGUUACAAGUAUUUUUCUAAUGAAAAUCUAGAGGUAUUUAAUUUAAAGGCUCUAA